UUAACCAAAUACUAAAACAAACCUCUGAAAAUAAAGAUGAAUCUCUCAUAUUAUAGUGUAAAAGAUAUAUUUCUAUACAUUAGAAGAGCAUGAGUUUCGACAUGCUUGCUUAUGUGCUUUUAUGUUUUGUUUGAGGGCAUAUUAGGCCUUUGAGCUUAUCUGUAUACGUGGCUUUUCUGUAUCUUCCCAACUACUACGUGUAGCAUUUAGGUUAUCAAAAGGUGGGUUUUAUCCGAUUUCUUUACAUCACAAUUUACAGAGCUUCUCAGAUAUCUUCGAUCUUCCUCAUCUCUUCAACUUGCAGGUGCUUUUCUUGUUCUCUAAUAUCAAUUUAGUUGUUUUUUCUAUUUUUUUUCUCCUUCUUUUUUAUUUAAAAUCAUGAAAACAGAGUGGAUUAAUUACAUAUUUUUGCGUUAGGGUUUUGAUGGAUAAAAUUUAGAAUUUUUUUUUGGAGAUGAAUUAAAAUCAAGAAAAUAAAUUCAGUUUCUUUACUUGCUUGAAUUUCUGCCACCAAUUAUACACCAACACAAGAUUUGGUGUAUUAUUUAGCUUAGUAAAAAGAAAAGGCAGGCUUCCUCUUUCUCACCAUUAGAAAUUGCAAGUUGAGUAUUUUUCUUUGAUGUAUCUCUUGACUAAAAAUAAAAAAUACAGCUUUGAAACGGAAUUUGCAGCUAUUAUUUUGGGAUUUAUAAAGAGACAGACAAAAGUCGAGAGAUUCGCUUUUGAGUCUUGAUUAUUUUCAGCCAGAUUAUCACUGAAUAUAUCUUCUCUCUUGUUGUCUAUUUCAAUAGCUUCUGGUUUCCAUGGUGGUUUAUGCCUAAGCAUUUUUUGUUAUUACUAUUUUAUAUGUAUCAAUUGAGUUUUUGUUUAUGAUUAUUUUUUGUUUUGUUAAAGUUUGAGUUUUUUGUCAAAUUUAAUAAGUAGGAUUUUUAUGUUAAUUGUCGAUGUGAGUACUGCAAGUCGGUGUUUGUGUUUCGAGCUAAACAUUGAUCCAUUAAUGGUUGUUCUUUGUUGAUUCCUUUAUGUACUGAUUAUGUAUAAGUUGAGUUUUUGGAGCUUAUUUUUAUAAAUAUCGAUUGUGUAGAAGUUCAGUUUUUCAGAUCUUAUUUUUCUAUUUGGACAUAGAAUUGGUAUUCCUGCAAUUAUAAUGAUGAUAUUACAGAUUCAUAGAUGAUAGAACACACACAUUGCUGAGUGUUUUCUGUAUCAGGGAGAAAAGGAACAUAGGUAGUGUCAUUGACAGAGUCGAGGUCGGAGUUUGACAACAAAAUGAUCAGAAUCAAAUAUUAUUUAGAAGAAAAUUUUCAUAGUUCCACCUCGAACCAUAAUAAGCGUAAACCAAGUGCCAUUUGAUAGGUACAUGAUAAAAUAAUGCCAAAAUCUUUCUCAGCUCUUUACUGCCAGAACAUUUCAUAAAACUUGGUCCAAUUUUAAAAAGAAAAAGCAAAUCGGUAUAUAUUAGAUGUGUGAGUGUGAGCAUGUGAUUUUUGCCUAGCCUAAAUUUCUCCUAUAGAUUCGUUAAAAUUAGGAUUUGUUUUUCUUUACAUGUGUGAUAUUUAGAGUUUAAUUGUAUAUAUUGUGUGUUUGUUUGCAUGUUGAGUGCAUUUUAAUUCUCAUAAAAAAUACAAAAAGAAACCGUAAUGCAUCUAGGGUUUAAAUUUACCUACUUUGGAAUUAGUUAGUUAUCAAGAGUCUUACAAUAAUACAAAAAUCACAAAAAUAAUUUAUUUUGGCAUUGUUUAAAUUGUAGCUUCAAAUUUGCUAAUUUUUCAUUUAAUUUUACAUUUGAUUAUUUUAUGUGAUUUGGUAGUUUAAUUUAGUUUUUAGGAUUAAUUUAGUGUUUAGUUUAAUUUUGAAAUAAGGGAAUUAAAAGAAAAAAAUAAUUAUAAUAAUAAAAAUAAAGGAAAAUGAAAAGAAAAGACUAUUUUGUAUAUCAUUUGGGCCAACUCUUGAUCCAGCCCAAACAGUACCCUUAAAAUCCACCCCAUUCAGCCCAAACUCGUUUUCCAAACCUGGUCCAGCCCCAUCCCCUUUCAAAACGACGUCGUUUUGCCGCUGAUUGAUAUGGACCGUUGAUCUCACUAGAUCAGACGGUCCGGAACUGGUUCUGUUUUAGUAUAAAACUAUCUAAACAACCCCCACCCCUCCAAACCAUCUCCCAUACACCCCUAAUUACACCGGUGUAUCACCACCGUUCACCACCCUCCAUCCGCCAUCCGGCGCCGGCCGGAAAUCGUCGUCGUCGGCGGCGUUGUUCUAAACCAUACCAAAUUAAUACCGUUGUACAUCUCAACUGCUUCUACCCAAAUAUCCAGUUAUCGUUCUUCGAAUCAUGCCUAGGCUCGUCGAAUAUUCAAAAAAAGGAUUGCCGGCUCCGCCGUGCUCGGCGGCGCCGAUGCAAAACGCCUUUAAAUCAAUACCAUAGGUUUCCCCAGCCUCCAUCACCCCAGAUAUGUAGGUCUAGUACCUCAAAUCAAGCCCUAACUCGUCGAACUUGGGUUCGAAAGUCUGACCUAAAAUCCACCUCCUUCCAAUCCCUUAAAAAAUUAUACUAUAUAGCCUUUUAGCCCCCUAGCCCAAUUCCCAAAUCAAAACCCUUCAAAUCUACAAGGAAUUCCCCAAUUUUUGGACCUAGGGCACGAGUCUGAGAAAUUUGAACAUGCGAGGGUUGGCCAUGCGUUUGGUUGAUUCCUAGGCUAAUGUUAUGUGUUUAUUUUGGAAAAUGAACACAUAAUAUCAGCUCGGGAUCUAUUCAAAGAGCACGAUCGAGCUUCGACCAUAAUCGGCGAGUCUGGUUUAUCGUUCUUUCGUUGUUUGUUUUUUUCUUUUUUCCGUUCAUCCCCUUGCACGUUUUAUUUGAAUUGGAAUUUCUCAAUUUAAUUUCUUGAGUGUCAUGUAUCCAAACGAUGUUAACUGGUUUAGAAUUCUUAAGGCUCUUGACUUUAUUUUAUUUUCUUUUAUCUCUUGUUCUGUUGAUUUUUUGUUUUGUUUUGAAUUUUCUUUUGGUUUGGUUUGGUGCUUGGUGUUGAUUAAUAAUCCAUGAUUGGUUCUGUUAAUUUUAUUUUUAGUUUCAAGUAAUUGGUUGGUUUAGGUCAAUAAUACAAUUAGUCAUUGGAAGUGUAUUGAUUAGAGGUUGAAUAGAUUAGGAGAUUUUUAGAUUAGAAAAUUGGUCAUAAUUGAAUGUUUCUAGUACUUUGGACAGUUAACUAGGGUGGAGAGGGGCUAAGGUUAGUAAUAUUAGAAACAAUUCAAGGUUAAAUUGGGUAGUUUAACAAGGAAUCUUUGAUAGUUGAUUUAAGAAGCUUCCAGAAUAGGGGCCAAUAUUGAAAUUCAGAUUUCUAAUUGUUGUAACUUGGGUAGCAAGCUAGGAAAUUAAGGACUAAGCUAGUAAAUCUGAAGAUAAGGUAAUGACUAAGGGGAGUAAUACAAGAAAAAUGGGUAGCUCUAAAGCUUUAGAUAUAGAGGGCACCCUAGUGCCUUCAUGGGCAGGUUUUUUUAGGCUGAAAAUGUCUAGAAAAUUUCCAAGAAUUUCCCAUAAGCUACACAAUUCAUAAUGUUUCCAUUCUCAUAGAGUCCUUUAGAUCUUAAGCCUACAGGAAAAAAUCAAAGAAGAUAUACUGUUUCAUUGGAAUUUUUGAGAUUAGCUUUGACACUCAACUAUCAAUUUAGAUACUAGUGUAAAUAGGAUGAAGGAGAUUCGAAGUACAUGUGUUUAAGGUGUUAAAUUUCAGAAGUUAUUUGGGGUUUCAGUUUGAGUCAGUGUUGUUGAAACUUGAACUGGUUUCCAUGUGUAUUAGUUUAAGUUGAUUUCUGGGAAUUGAUAUUGCUUUUCUUGAGCUCGUGAACUGCAAAUCUGCUGGGUGUGCUGUUAAACUGCUGCUGACCCUUCCUUUCUCUUUGUUUAAUCAUAAUAGCUGAUACACAUCAUCAAAUUCGUCUCAGUGUAGCUUUGAUUUGGGACUAAAAUGCAGCAUCCUUACCUCACUCUUUAUCAUUUUUACUUAGCUCCUUAUGUAAUAACAUUCGCUUAUGUGCUGAGUGAUGAAUAUCUAUGCAAGGAAAUUUAGCUUGGAUUUGUAUUCAAAUUAUUUGGACUAGACUGUACAUAGACUUUACGAAUUGCUUUGGGUUUUGUUAUAGUUUGGGUUAGUUAGUUGUUAGUCCAUGCAUGGAGUGUAGAAGCAGUAGCUAAAAUUGACAUGGCAUUCUACUUGAGCCCAUGUAUGAUCUUGUGAUUCCAUUGUGUUUUCAGCAUCCUCCAUAUACAAUAAUUCCUGAAAAUAGGUUUGAC
rnacentral:lncRNA from 1 species